UACGUGAAACCGCUCAGAGGUAAACGGGUGGAUCCGCAAAAGUCGGCCGGCAGAAUUCAGCGCGGCGCGCGGCUCCGGGGCUGCUGUGGUCUGGGAUCCCUUGGACCCUACUGUGGUGCUGCGCCGGGCCCCGCCGUGUGCACUUUCUGCCGGCAGAGAGCCACAACCGGUUCGGCGUUGUGGCGGUGAGAUGUCAGGUGGGGUUGUAGGUGGGGGCGCUUGCGUCCCUACCAGCCCUGCUUGUCGAGCCGCCUCCGGACCGAGGAACUGCCACGCGCUUCGAGGCCACCCUCCUCUCGGAGUGAGUUCGACUGGGAGAGACUGGGCAACCGUGUCUCCUGAACGCUUACUUUCGAUCAGCGCGGGGCUGGCCGGGCGCAUUCUGUGGGUUUGUGGCGAGUCUGUCGGCACUCCACCCGACCCGUCUUGAAACACGGACCAAGGAGUCUAACAUGCGCGCGAGUCAUUGGGUGGUACGAAACCCAAAGGCGCAGUGAAAGCGAGGUCGGUCAAACGCCUAGGUGGGAUCCGUCCCCUGAAGCUCUCUUCGAGGGUCAUUGGGGGGCGGCGCACCWCCGGCCCGUCCCGUCUGCGUCGGCAGUGGGGCGGAGCAAGAGCGCGCACGCUGGGACCCGAAAGAUGGUGAACUAUGCCUGAGUAGAACGAAGCCAGAGGAAACUCUGGUGGAGGUUCGUAGCGAUUCUGACGUGCAAAUCGAUCGUCAAACU
rnacentral:rRNA from 1 species